GUCGGACGGGAUCCAUCGGAGAGCUUGCUCGAAGAUGGUGAGAGUGGCGCACCGUUGCGUAACGCGUGAGCAACCUACCUCUAUCAGGGGGAUAGCCUCUCGAAAGAGAGAUUAACACCGCAUAACAUCAACAGUUCGCAUGUUCGGUUGAUUAAAUAUUUAUAGGAUAGAGAUGGGCUCGCGUGACAUUAGCUAGUUGGUAGGGUAACGGCUUACCAAGGCGACGAUGUCUAGGGGCUCUGAAAGGAGAAUCCCCCACACUGGUACUGAGACACGGACCAGACUCCUACGGGAGGCAGCAGUAAGGAAUAUUGGUCAAUGGGCGGAAGCCUGAACCAGCCAUGCCGCGUGCAGGAUGACUGCCCUAUGGGUUGUAAACUGCUUUUGUCCAGGAAUAAACCUAAAUACGUGUAUUUAGCUGAAUGUACUGGAAGAAUAGGGAUCGGCUAACUCCGUGCCAGCAGCCGCGGUAAUACGGAGGAUCCGAGCGUUAUCCGGAUUUAUUGGGUUUAAAGGGUGCGUAGGCGGCCUAUUAAGUCAGGGGUGAAAUACGGUGGCUCAACCAUCGCAGUGCCUUUGAUACUGAUGGGCUUGAAUCCAUUUGAAGUGGGCGGAAUAAGACAAGUAGCGGUGAAAUGCAUAGAUAUGUCUUAGAACUCCGAUUGCGAAGGCAGCUCACUAAGCUGGUAUUGACGCUGAUGCACGAAAGCGUGGGGAUCGAACAGGAUUAGAUACCCUGGUAGUCCACGCCCUAAACGAUGAUAACUCGAUGUUGGCGAUAGACAGCCAGCGUCCCAGCCAAAGCGUUAAGUUAUCCACCCUGGGGAGUACGCCCGCCAGGGUGAAAA
rnacentral:rRNA from 1 species